AGGUGAAACUACGUCUUACGGGGGAUAAUAAGUUAUAUUUCCCGAUUCAAGCAUGGAUAGUGUAUCACCAACUGCAUGGCAAGAUGGGACGAUGAUAAAACUGAACUAAAUUUAUGUGGACAUCUACCGCAUCAAGACUGAGAUGUGUAUCACUGUAUAUCACGUAAGAAGAACGGGAUGACAUCAAUGGAUGUGGGUUCAACGUUUGGGUUCAACACAAAUGAACAUGGCGUGAUUAAGAAAAAAAAAUGAUUGGUGGAUUAAGGAUUAGUGGUGUCUGGUUGAGAGCUUCUUCCGUGGACAGCUGGAUAUUCAUCAUGAUAAACUUAAGGUGUCAGCUAAGAUUAUUUGAUGACCUCGUCGAAUUGAUGCCCUAAUUAUUCAUAUUUAUCUAAGAUAAAAUGCAUGUUCGAUGAGGUGUUACCAUGGCAACCAUGAUACCUACGUGGAUUUCUUCAUCAUAUCACGUCGUCUUUCUGCAUCUAUAUACAAGCAUAUACGAGGAUAAAUGACAAACAUGGAAGAGAUUCACUAUCGUAUACCGGGAUGUAUUGGUCGUUGAGGGAAUAGACAUGAAGUCAUCAAUCAAAGAGGUUCCGUGGCCGAGUGGUCUAAAGCACACGACUACACCAUGGAAGUCCCGGGUUCGAUUCCCGGCACGACACUCUUAUGCCCGGAAAUAAAUGCAUGGAGAGGGUGCCGUAAUUCUGGAUUGAUCUGGACUUCUGUAGAGUUGGGCAGGAUUGGACAGGAUUGCAAUAAUAUAUAGAUAUUCUGUAUCUGGAAGAAUCUAUGAUGUUCAGCUACUGAAGGCUCCCCGGUUGCUUGUCUGGGUCCUCUACAGGGGCGGAUCCAGGAUAUUCCAAGGGGGGGAGGGCACAUUUUCCCAAGGGAAAAUUGACAUGCAAAAAAAUAAGAAAAGGUUUUCACCCCCAAAAUGAAGUUCAUUUCGUCCAUGUAUAAUUUGAAAAGCAAAAAAGAAAGAAAAAAAAAAGCCUCACCUGUGUUUCAUUAAAAAUAUAUGUUGUGACUUUCAAGGGGGGCACUCUUGUGUAAAAACGGCAUUUUACAUUAAAAUUUUGAUAAUGGCUCUCAAAAAGGGGUACGGGUCGUAUCUGCCCCCCCCCCUCCUGGAUCCAUUACUGGUUCUCUAUGGUCUGAGUAACGACUUGUGAUUCUAUGUAAAGUGACACCCUCUGAAAAAAAAUUCAGGUCAAAUUGUAUAAUUAUGGAAAUCAGUCCGUUUUGGCAACUGUUUAUUCUGGGUCAAAAUGAGGUUCGAAGUGACUCGGAAAAGGCCAGAUAUGAUCAAGAAAUACUCACUUCGGACAUUGCUUGGAGUUAUUUUCGACCCAGAACAUAGAAUGGUCAAAAUACAUUCCUUUCAUGGUCUUCUGGUUGGCGGUAAUAUCAUUGUUUGGCGCCUUGAUCCACCACUGCCUUGACCCCCCCCCCUCCCAUCAAAAUUAUCCCCGAGCUCGCUCUUGCUUGUGAUGUGUUCGGUGGUAGUGCGAUCGAAAUACACUCAAAAGAUCUUCUCAUAGUACUGUAAUAAACAAGAAAGUGAUAAUAUACUUCAAUUUGAAGUAACAAAACUAUAUUGGGAAUAAUAAGAUCAUUAUUACCUUUUCUGUCGGAUAUUGUGUUUUCUCAUGUUACUGAUAAUGGUAAAAUGAGUUUCGUGGAUUUCAAAGGUGUUCAAUCGGAGGUUAUUUUUAAAAGCGAAGCGUACUUGUUUUAUUUCUUAUUUCGUAUCAUGUAUAUCAGGAAAAUAUGUGUGACAAAUCUCUUUUAUAGGGCUACUUCAGUUGGAUAUGAAGAACUCAUAGUAAAAUUUAACAAGUAAGACACCGAAGUUGUGUCGAAACUGGCUGAUGAGAAAAUAACGAAAUAUGAGUUCCAUGUUUUGAUUCGAUGAAGAUAAUGUAGAUUGUGUAUCAUUAAACCUAUCUUCCUUGUAAUGAAUAAAUGUAAA